rnacentral:rRNA from 1 species
AGAGUUUGAUCCUGGCUCAGGAUGAACGCUGGCGGCGUGCCUAAUACAUGCAAGUCGAGCGAACGGACGAGAAGCUUGCUUCUCUGAUGUUAGCGGCGGACGGGUGAGUAACACGUGGAUAACCUACCUAUAAGACUGGGAUAACUUCGGGAAACCGGAGCUAAUACCGGAUAAUAUUUUGAACCGCAUGGUUCAAAAGUAAAAGACGGUCUUGCUGUCACUUAUAGAUGGAUCCGCGCUGCAUUAGCUAGUUGGUAAGGUAACGGCUUACCAAGGCAACGAUGCAUAGCCGACCUGAGAGGGUGAUCGGCCACACUGGAACUGAGACACGGUCCAGACUCCUACGGGAGGCAGCAGUAGGGAAUCUUCCGCAAUGGGCGAAAGCCUGACGGAGCAACGCCGCGUGAGUGAUGAAGGUCUUCGGAUCGUAAAACUCUGUUAUUAGGGAAGAACAUAUGUGUAAGUAACUGUGCACAUCUUGACGGUACCUAAUCAGAAAGCCACGGCUAACUACGUGCCAGCAGCCGCGGUAAUACGUAGGUGGCAAGCGUUAUCCGGAAUUAUUGGGCGUAAAGCGCGCGUAGGCGGUUUUUUAAGUCUGAUGUGAAAGCCCACGGCUCAACCGUGGAGGGUCAUUGGAAACUGGAAAACUUGAGUGCAGAAGAGGAAAGUGGAAUUCCAUGUGUAGCGGUGAAAUGCGCAGAGAUAUGGAGGAACACCAGUGGCGAAGGCGACUUUCUGGUCUGUAACUGACGCUGAUGUGCGAAAGCGUGGGGAUCAAACAGGAUUAGAUACCCUGGUAGUCCACGCCGUAAACGAUGAGUGCUAAGUGUUAGGGGGUUUCCGCCCCUUAGUGCUGCAGCUAACGCAUUAAGCACUCCGCCUGGGGAGUACGACCGCAAGGUUGAAACUCAAAGGAAUUGACGGGGACCCGCACAAGCGAUGGAGCAUGUGGUUUAAUUCGAAGCAACGCGAAGAACCUUACCAAAUCUUGACAUCCUUUGACAACUCUAGAGAUAGAGCUUUCCCCUUCGGGGGACAAAGUGACAGGUGGUGCAUGGUUGUCGUCAGCUCGUGUCGUGAGAUGUUGGGUUAAGUCCCGCAACGAGCGCAACCCUUAAGCU